rnacentral:misc_RNA from 1 species
UUUGCUGCUCUCCAACACGGAGCGCUGCCGGGCUUUCGCAGUACAGCCUGCUCAGGCCCGCCGGUGGGGUGGUGCAUCUUUGCGCGUUGUGCUACCGGAAGCACACACACACACACACACAAGCGGAGGCCGUGAACCCUUCCGUGAUUCCCUCUACCGUCGCGUCCCCUCGUCCUCGUUCGCGCCGCGCCAUUUUUUUUUUUCGUCUCUGCCGGACAGCAUGGACAAGUACGCGCUGGGGCCUGUUAUCGGGGAGGGCCAGUUUGGGAGUGUGCGCAUGGCGACAGUCAAGGCCACCGGGCAGACAGUUGCCGUGAAACUGCUACAUGUGCCUCGGCUUACGGAGGGCAUUCCGCAUCCGGUGGCGCGGGAGCUUCUCAUUGCCUCUCGUGUCGCCUCGCCGUUUCUGGUGAAGACCAUCGAGAUUGCACCGUAUGGGUCCCACAUGGCUGUGGUGAUGGAGCGCUGUAUGGAGGACUUGGCGUGUGUCUUGCGCAAGUGCAGUCCGGCUCACCCGCUUCCGCUGCUGUUGACGCAGUCGUAUAUGCGCAUGCUUCUCACCGCGCUGCACGCAUUGCACUCGAGCGGUAUUCUACACCGCGAUGUGAAACCGUCGAACUGCUUUGUUGCUGUGGAUGGGUGCCUCAAGCUCGGCGACUUUGGCCUCAGCCGCCCACUAUGCUCAGACAUGUCACACGAGGUUGUGUCGCGCUGGUACCGCGCGCCGGAGCUGCUUUUUGGCCAGCGACGCUACGGGGGCGAGGUGGACCUCUGGGCGGCUGGGUGCGUCUUCGCCGAACUCCUGCGUGGCCACGGCCGCCCUUUCUUUACAGGCGAUGGGGAUAUCAGCCAGAUCGCGAAGAUAUUUGACGUCUUCGGUACCCCCACGGGCGGGACGUGUAGCUUCUACCGCCAGCUGCCUGACUGGGAGAAGGUUUAUUUCGAAGAGAAAAAGGGAACUGGCCUGCGUGUGCUGCUGCCUUUUGUGCCCCCUGAGGCGCUUGACUUGUUGACGAAAAUGCUAGCCCUUGAUCCGGCAUCUCGGUGCAGCGCCGCAGAGGCGCUCAGCCAUCCAUUUUUCGCUCUCUCAGAUAUCUUGCUGCGCGUAUGAAAUUCUGAAAGACAAUUGAGAGCGCCGAAGUUCCACUGAAGCAAGUAGAGAGAACUCAACCCCGACUACUCUACAGGCCCUCGCUCCCCCCUGGCGCCGCAAAAAAAAAGAAAGAAGACGUAUGUGCGCCUCCGGCGGUCACUGACGCUGUAGAAUCCCCUCUUGGCCUUCUCACAACCUUAUUGGUGUGUCUGGAACCUGUCAUUGUGGCGCGCAGGCAUGUCGCGGAUGUGCUGCGUCUGAACAAAGCCGGAGGAAGGAUGCCUGACCUCUUGUGCUUACGGGCGCCACCUUCCCUCCAAAGUGUACGCAGAUGGCUUCUCACAGAUGCCCUGCCCGGCGUGUAUGUCAUGCAGGAAGAUACUCUUGUGAACCCAUUUGCUCGGUGCUGAUGAUGGUGACGCGCUGAGAGCGCAGGGUGGAACUCGGGAACGGUGCAGGGCCUAAGAGGGCUCUGAACUGACGCAGGGAGAACUUCCUUCUUGACCUUACGUGGCAUGCCCCUGAACUGACCACUGUUACACGGAGGACAGGCGCCACCGCCUGCGCCUUCGCGCAAGACGGUGGAAUCAACCCCGUUUGGAUGAAAGCAUUGAGUCCACCCGAGUGUCCGCCUUGCGCCACCCGCGUAGCACGUACCGGGAGACUUCACGUGAAAGGGCAAGAGGAAGCCGUACGAUGUAUUUCCCCGAUUCCGCGGCUCACUGCGAGUGCGAGAGGGCU